UAGUCAUAUGCUUGUCUCAAAGAUUAAGCCAUGCAUGUCUAAGUAUAAACAUCUUUAUACAGUGAAACUGCGUACAGCUCAUUAUAUCAGUAAUUAUUUAUUUGAUGGUACCUUACUACAUGGAUACCCGUAGUAAUUCUAGAGCUAAUACAUGCGUAAAGUCCCGACUCUCGCGGGGAGGGAUGUAUUUAUUAGAUAAAAAAUCAAUGCGGGCUUUGCCCGGUCAUUUGGUGACUCAUAGUAACUGUUCGAAUCGCAUGGCCUUGUGCUGGCGAUA
rnacentral:rRNA from 1 species